CUGAGUUACCGCUCUACAACCCUUUGUGAACAUACCUAACUGUUGCUUCGGCGGGCAGAGGUCCCUCGCGGAUCUCUCCCGGCCCCGUCUCACGACGGAGCGCCCGCCGGAGGACCAACCAAAACUCUUUAUGUAUACCCCCUCGCGGGUUUUUUACAAUCUGAGCCAUCUCGGCGCCCCUCGUGGGCGUUUCGAAAAUGAAUCA
rnacentral:misc_RNA from 1 species